CAAUAGCGUAUAUUAAAGUUGUUGCAGUUAAAAAGCUCGUAGUUGGACCUUGGACCUGGACAGGCGGUCCGCCUCACGGCGUGUACUGUCUUGCUGGGUCUUUCCUCUUGGUGAUCUGUUGUUUCGGCAGCAGGGAACCAGGACUUUUACUUUGAAAAAAUUAGAGUGUUCAAAGCAGGCUCGACGCCGGAAUAUAUUAGCAUGGAAUAAUAAAAUAGGACGUGCGGUUCUAUUUUGUUGGUUUUUGGAAUCGCCGUAAUGAUUAAUAGGGACAGUCGGGGGCAUUAGUACUCACAUGCUAGAGGUGAAAUUCUUGGAUUUUGUGAAGACUAACUUCUGCAAAAGCAUUUGCCAAGGAUGUUUUCAUUAA
rnacentral:rRNA from 1 species